rnacentral:rRNA from 1 species
AUACGGAGGAUCCGAGCGUUAUCCGGAUUUAUUGGGUUUAAAGGGUGCGCAGGCGGCCAUUUAAGUCAGCGGUUAAAUCGUGGGGCUCAACCCCAUUCUGCCGUUGAUACUGGGUGGCUUGAUUGCGGUCGAGGUUGGCGGAAUUCGUUGUGUAGCGGUGAAAUGCAUAGAUAUGACGAAGAACACCGAUUGCGGAGGCAGCUGACCAGACCGCAAAUGACGCUCAUGCACGAAAGUGCGGGGAUCGAACAGGAUUAGAUACCCUGGUAGUCCGCACAGUAAACGAUGAAUACUUGUUUUCGGCGAUAUAAUGUCGGAGGCAAAGCGAAAGCGAUAAGUAUUCCACCUGGGGAGUACGCCGGCAACGGUGAAACUCAAAUGAAUUGACGGGG